GACGAACGCUGGCGGCGUGCCUAAUACAUGCAAGUCGAACGCUGAAGAGAGGAGCUUGCUCUUCUUGGUUGAGUUGCGAACGGGUGAGUAACGCGUAGGUAACCUGCCUGGUAGCGGGGGAUAACUAUUGGAAACGAUAGCUAAUACCGCAUAAAAUGGAUUAUCGCAUGAUAAUCCAUUGAAAGGUGCAAAUGCAUCACUACCAGAUGGACCUGCGUUGUAUUAGCUAGGUGGUGGGGUAACUGCUCACCCAGCCGACGAUACAUAGCCGACCUGAGAGGCGGAUAUGCAAAGCUGGUAUGGGAGCAUGCCCCGCACCCCUACGGGUGGGACCCGGAGGGGAUCUUUGGCAGUGGACGGAAGGGUGACCGUGCAACGCCGGGUGAGUGAAGAAGGUAGUCAGAUCGUAAAGCUGUGGAAUAAGUGAAGGUUGUAUGGGUGAUUUGAAAGUGCACACAGUGACGGUAUCGGACCAGAAAGCGACGGCUAACUACGUG
rnacentral:rRNA from 1 species